rnacentral:rRNA from 1 species
AAGCUCGUAGUUGGAUUUCUGCUGGAAGCAGCCAGUCCGCCCUCAGGGGUGUGCACUUGGUGAAUUCUAGCAUCCUUCUGGAUUUCUCCACACUUCAUUGUGUGGAGUUUUUUCCAGGACUUUUACUUUGAGAAAAUUAGAGUGUUUCAAGCAGGCUUGUCGCCUUGAAUACUGCAGCAUGGAAUAAUAAGAUAGGAUUUCGGCCCUAUUUUGUUGGUUUCUAGGACUGAAGUAAUGAUUAAUAGGGACGGUUGGGGGCAUUCGUAUUUAACUGUCAGAGGUGAAAUUCUUAGAUUUGUUAAAGACGAACUACUGCGAAAGCAUUUGCCAAAGAUGUUUUCAUUAAUCAAGAACGAAAGUUAGGGGCUCGAAGACGAUCAGAUACCGUCGUAGUCUUAACCAUAAACUAUGCCGACUAGAGAUAGGAAAACGUCAUGCUUGACUUCUCCUGCAC